rnacentral:lncRNA from 1 species
CGGCAGAUAGGUGUGAUCAGAUUUUGCACUUUGGCCGUGGUGUGAAGAAUGCUACUAGGGAAGGGGAGCAGUGGAUUCAGAGGAGCAGUUAAGAGGCCACUGAAAUUGCUGCGAGAGAUGACGGCUCGCAUGGGAAUAGUCACGACGGUGCAGACCCCUGAGACGCAGGUCAGAAACUACACCCACCACUCAGGCUAUAGAAGAAAAGACUUGGAUUAUGUGGGAAGACAGCCAGGGUUCCAUCGAGUGAGAAGAACUACAAAGCAAGACAUGUCUGAAAUGAAGGGUGCUGGCACAGCCUUUCUUCUGCGGCUCUGGCAGGACACAGCAGAGGCCAAUAAGGGGGUCAGGGUGUCUUCUGGAAGAGGUGUGCUUGCGCCUCCUCUUGGAGGAUAAGCAGAACUGAGUUAGUAAGUGUAGGAGCAUUUUUUCCCUUUGGGACUGAGCACCAGUGCAUCCCGAGGUCCUCUCAGGCACAAGUUUAAUUGAUUGUGUUUCCUAGCUUGUCAUCUGUCCCAUGGGCCAACUGAUACGUUAAUUUUUCUCUUGUCUCACCACAGCCUCCCUCCCCUAAUGUGGCAAGUGAAAAGUACAGGAGGCAGCAAUGUACAAUGCUUUUUAAUAUUGAUAAAUAAAAAAUCCUGCUCAUGCCUGAUGCUCUCACCCUCAGUAUUUCAGAAGGGGACUGUGUUUGGACACAGGGUCUUAGUUAAAAUAAGGGCAUCAGAGGACCCCUCAUCCUGUGACUGGUAUCAGGAGAUCUGAAUACAGACGCAUUCAGAGAAACCCAUGUAAGACCCAAGGAGGACGUGCCCAUCUGUAAGCCAAGGAGAAGCCUCAGAAUGAAACCAGCUCUGCCAAUACCUCCAUCUUGGACUUCCUUGCAGAGCUAACUGCGAGGAAAUAAAGUUCUGUUGUUUAACUCACCCAGGCUGCGGUGUUGGUUAUAGCAGCCACUGGAAACCCUCAGCCUGCCUUUUCCCACUCUCGUGUGUACUGAAUGAAAGUGGCCUUUGUUGGGCUGAUAUCUCUGUAGCAACUUCUGGCUAAAAGAAUCGUGGUUGGAAAAGGGGAGUUCAGAAGAGAGAACACCCCGCUUUCUUGUCUUCAAGAGUUCUGUGACCUGAAGGCACACACCAGGAAAUCUAUCACCCUGCAGAACUGGCAUCGUGUGACAUCUGGAAAGUAAUAAGCCUAUCCUUAUUAUGAGCCCAUACUUGGC